rnacentral:rRNA from 1 species
GACGAACGCUGGCGGCGUGCUUAACACAUGCAAGUCGAACGGAAAGGCCCUGCUUUUGUGGGGUGCUCGAGUGGCGAACGGGUGAGUAACACGUGAGUAACCUUCCCUUGACUUUUGGAUAACUUCAGGAAACUGGGGCUAAUAUCGGAUAGGAGCUCCUGCUUCAUGGUGGGGGUUGGAAAGUUUCGGCGGUUGGGGAUGGACUCGCGGCUUAUCAGCUUGUUGGUGGGGUAGUGGCUUACCAAGGCUUUGACGGGUAGCCGGCCUGAGAGGGUGACCGGCCACAUUGGGACUGAGAUACGGCCCAGACUCCUACGGGAGGCAGCAGUGGGGAAUAUUGCACAAUGGGCGGAAGCCUGAUGCAGCAACGCCGCGUGCGGGAUGACGGCCUUCGGGUUGUAAACCGCUUUCGCCUGUGACGAAGCGUGAGUGACGGUAAUGGGUAAAGAAGCACCGGCUAACUACGUG